GCUGUGAUGGCCGAGUGGUUAAGGCAUUGGAUUUGAAAUCCAAUGGGGUCUCCCUGCGCAGGUUCGAACCUUGCGCAGGUUCGAACCCUGCUCACAGCG